CUACUUACCUGCCAGGUGAGAUACUAUGAUCAUGAAGGUGCUUCUCCCAGGGCAAGGCUCACCCAUUGCAUUCUGGGUAUGCUGACCCCUGUGAUUUUCCCAAAUGUGGGAAACUCGACUGCAUUAUUUGUGGUAGUGGGGGACUGUGUUUGUGCUUUCCUCUG